CUAGGAGUGAAGUAUUUUAGUACGUGAAAUUGCAAAUUUUAAAGAAUUUCUCCUU
rnacentral:tRNA from 1 species